GAUGGCACCAUGGGCCCCACUCCAGACUGAGUCGGUUUUAACAAGAUCACCAGGUAAUGCCUAUUCCUGUCAAGAAAUAUCAGUGCAACAAGUAAUUUCAAUAGGGUGUGAAAAUGCUUACUUAGAGGACAUUCUAAGGGGGUGGAGCAGGUCAUGCCGCUGCUAGAAUGAGAGGUGCUCUGGGGAAGGAAUUGCUGGUUUCAGCUGAACUCAGAAAGAUAAAGAAGCAGAGCACACAGCAUGUAGAGAGGGGUGAGUGCCUGCAUUUUCAGGAUCUAGAUAGCCACAUGUGCUUAACCCCUGAGGGAGGUGAUUAUAGCCUGCUGGAGGAAGCACAGCCUUUGUGGCUGGAGCUCAGAGCUCUCUGGGAGGCCCAGAGAUCAGCUGUCAACUGAAGGAGGGCCCACAAACAAGAACUUUGACCUUUCCUGAGAGAUUUACAAGGAGCCAUCAAGAUAUUUAAAUAGGAUUUGAUUUAGAAACAUGGUGGAUUCUUGCAAAAUCACUUUCAUACAGUGUGGGGGAUGGAUUGGUGCAAGGUAGAGCGGAGUGCUAUCUAGGCAACAGUUGACACGCUGGCACUGAGGUUGGGCAACAUGGUGGGUAUGAGUGGAAGCCUUUGCGACAGGUUGGGAGGCAGAACUGGAAGGAUCUGAAUGUGGGGAGGGAAGAGCCAGGAGAGCAGCCAGUAGGAGGUGUCACGUGCUGGGGCCCAGCAGAAGGUCUGUAUACUGCUUUUGACUCUCCAGUCCUAUAGACUGUCCCAUUAGGCACAUGUCAUGCGGCGUUGGGGUAUUUCUCUUUUCCCCUUUCUUCCAGAUCAUCAGCUUUUUGAACACAGGGCCCUGCCUUGCACGUUUUUGCUUUUAUUAGAGUGCCUAGCACAGAGCCUGGCACUAAGUGCCACCUGAAGUCCUCUUACUGAGCUGGUAUCCAGUUUUUGUAAGAGCUUGCCCUUCUUCAGCUGCAGAAGGUGAGUCUUGGAGGAGAAUUGGCUGGAAAAAGCUGUGUUUCUCUGUUUAUUUGUCUUUAAUGUGAACGAUAACUCCUGUCUGUAUGGUGCUUUACGGUGCAGGUGGUGCACUCAUAACCACUGUCUCAUCUGCAUUCCUCCCGACAGCCCUCAGCCCUCAGUGCAGCGUUAGAAAGGCUGGUGCGUUCGUGGCUCAGUGUUAAUCAAGGGCUGAUUAUCUCAGUCUCUCUCUCCUCCCUGUUCUGACUUCCUGCCUUUUGACUUGGGAGUUGAAGCUGGAAGCAGGUUGGGGUCAAACAAUGCAGAGUUGAAUCCUAUAAAUUCUGUCCAUUCAUAUUAGCCAUUUGGGAUAAGGACUGUGGAGGGAGAGGCUGGGGGAGGGGGGCAGGGGGUUUCUUCUCCCUCUGUGGCUCAUACUCCCAGGAAACUGCAUCUGAGGGCAGGAGAAGACCGUGGGGGAAAUGCAAGCUCCCAGCCUUCCUGCACCUCUCACUCUUUGGGGUCUCUUGCUAUGCUCCUGAGAGAGGAAGCCUAAAAGAAUUUCAUGGAUGAAGGAAAAUCCAGGCCUUGAUGAAAUUGCCCCUUGCCUGUCUAAAUGAAGAAAGGGCUUUGCAUGGAACAAACUUGAGUUUGAAUCCUGGCUCUUCCAACUCUCCAGCCCCAUGGCUUUGGGCAGCUCCUUAGCUUCUCCAAGUCUGUUUUCCAAAAUAAGUGAUAAAAUGGCGGUGACAAUCCCUUUCACACAGGUUUGUGAGAACCAGAUGAGGCAGAGAUGAAUGCUAACAAGCAAGAUGCCCCCAGCGUCUGGUGGAGUGCUUGCAAUAAUGCUGAUACGUUUGUAUUUAUUCAGCAAACCCCUCACCCUUGUUAAAAAUGAUGCUCCCAUAAGACAGGGAAUAGCAUCGUGCUCUAAGUUGUUUUCAUAUGGAGUCCAAGGGUUCUCAACAUUAACAUGCAAAAGAAUCGUUCAUGACGUUGUUAAAACAUACAUUCCCACCCCAGUAGACAUCUAAAAUGAUCCAGUCUGGAAUGACGCCCACUUGAUUCUCAUGGGGAUCCCAUUUUGGAAGAGUUUGGAAUGGAAUUGCAGCUAAAGAACCACCUUGCCUGGUGUCUACUCAAAUAGAUUCUCAGUUCUGUUCCGCCCUACUAUAAAGGGUUCUCCUAGUGUAGGACCUGUGUUUCUGCGUAGGACCAAGUGAUUCUCAGGACAAAGCCAAGUGUGUGUAAUCCUGGGCUCUAGGAUCCAGGUCAUGCCCACCUCUGUGGGGCUAUUUAUUGCAAGAGGCUCAGGUGGCUGGGGAUGUGCUUUCGAGGCAGACAGGUUCAGACCUUAAGUGAGAAGAGCUCACCAGGGAAAGAGCUCUGUUCCCUGAAGUGCUGACAGCUAGAGCUAUCAGUGGGCACCACCUGGCAAGUAACAAACUCUAGAAACCAGCUCUGUGUCCUUAUUGGUUAAAACAGGGCUCGAGGACUGGAUGCUUUUAGUCCUAGCUCUGAAGUCACUUGUUUCUGAAAGAUUGAGUAGAAGUUAAAUUAGGCAGAGGUGAUUGUAUGUUAGCAGUGUGUCCCCAGUGUAUGGUAUUUGCAUUCCUUUAAAAUGUUGCACUAUAUUAUGUGGAUUUAUUCAGUUUCUGUAUUCAGCCCGUGUUGGCACUUAACUGUGGUUAUGUUUUUGUGGGGAAAUAGAGCACGUGUGGUUGCCUGAGAACUUGGUAGAUUUGUUACCCAAGCUAACAGCAGUGCUACCUGCUGGCAGCUCCUGGAAUUGCAAGGCUGUGGUUUUGAGGAAAUAACAUCAAAACCAGCUGGGUAGGCGGAGACGUCUUUGUGUAAAAACAAAACAAAACAAAAC
rnacentral:lncRNA from 1 species